ACACAUGCAAGUCGAACGGCAGCAUAGGUGCUUGCACCUGAUGGCGAGUGGCGAACGGGUGAGUAAUGUAUCGGAACAUAUCCGGAAGUGGGGGAUAACUAGUCGAAAGAUUAGCUAAUACCGCAUAUGCCCUUAGGGGGAAAGGGGGGGAUCUUAGGACCUCCCGCUUUCGGAGUGGCCGAUAUCGGAUUAGCUAGUAGGUGAGGUAAAGGCUCACCUAGGCGACGAUCCGUAGCUGGUCUGAGAGGACGACCAGCCACACUGGAACUGAGACACGGUCCAGACUCCUACGGGAGGCAGCAGUGGGGAAUUUUGGACAAUGGGGGCAACCCUGAUCCAGCCAUACCGCGUGAGUGAAGUAGGCCUUCGGGUUGUAAAGCUCUUUCAGGUGGGAAGAAACGGUCGUUGUUAAUAGCGGUGAUUAAUGACGGUACCACCAGAAGAAGCACCGGCUAACUACGUGCCAGCAGCCGCGGUAAUACGUAGGGUGCGAGCGUUAAUCGGAAUUACUGGGCGUAAAGCGUGCGCAGGCGGCUUUAUAAGCCAGAUGUGAAAUCCCCGGGCUCAACCUGGGAACUGCAUUUGGAACUGUAAGGCUAGAGUACGGCAGAGGGGGGUAGAAUUCCACGUGUAGCAGUGAAAUGCGUAGAUAUGU
rnacentral:rRNA from 1 species